rnacentral:lncRNA from 1 species
GCCAUAGACACUAUAAGCACCUGGAUGUCACAGCACCUGGCUCUAUCAGGUCUUCACUGAGUGAAAAUGCUGCCUUUAAGCUAUUUGACCAUUGCCAAGGGCCUGUGGUUUAUUUGCUUUCCAGCAUAGUGGCUUCUGUUUACCUCUCUGGAUUGCAGCCUGUUUCCUGGCAGCUACUUUAAAUCCGGAUGUCUGAGAAGGUUGAGAGGAUGAGAUGGAGUGAACAGCAGCAUGUGCUGUGACAGAGAGGUUGAACUUUCCCUUCAUUUCUACAACAACAGAGGAAUGAGCAGUCAGAAUAGCCCAUGCAGGAAAGUGAAGGUAAAGGCCAUGGAAGCAGCAUCCAAGUCUCACGUAUAUUUCAUACAUAAAGAUGCCGUGGCAUUUCCAUAUGAGUUUGACGUGGUCCGGAAGCAAAAGAAGUCUGGAAAGUCUGCCCUCAUCACCAUCUUUCCCCUCCCAAUGGCACGGGGAGCUGAUGAAGAACUGCUAUUCAGGCUAAUUAUACGUGUGUGAUGAAAGACUUAUCACCAGCCCUAUGAUACAGAGCCUUGUGAGUCCACAGAGUCAUCUUCAGACGUUUCCAUUGUUUGGAGCGAAUGGAAGCCAUGAGGACAUUUGGAUGAGAUAAAGGGGAUUCUGAAACUUCCUGUGUUCAGGUGAUAACCAGCUCUCUGUGUCAGCAUGCAUGUAUUCUUGAACAGUUCACUUACCCUGGCAAGCCACAGCGCUGUAUCUUGGCUUUGAACUGUGAAAUUGAUUAUUUUGAUCUUUCAUCGGGGGACUCCAAAGGACAAGAACUAAUUAAACAAAUCUGUGAUGUGGGAUUGACAAGCAUAAUAUUUUCUUUCUUUUUUUCUUUCUACCAUUAUCUAAUGAGAUUUUUAAUUCUUACUAGGAAAAAAAAUAUUUCAUUAAAUAUGCCACAAUUUAAAAGACACUCGAUGACAGUGAGGUUAAAGAACUAUUUUUCUAGCAACUUUAUCACAAAGUCAUGGGACCAACUCACAAAUAAUACAGUCAAAAUAACAGACUAUAUAUUACUAAUAAUAAGUUAAUGUUUGCCACUUGUUUGCUUAAUUUUAUUUCUGUUUAUGGAGAAGGAACAACUGCAUCUUUUGCUAACUCAUAAAUAAAUACAUAAACUUUCAGCUCUUAUUCA